GUAGGUGAACCUGCGGAAGGAUCAUUAAUAGUGCUCAUUGACGCAAGUCAGUGAGUUAGAUCUGCUCUCCUCGCAAGAGGAGGGUUUCCAUACACACCGUGAACUGUGGCUUCGGCCAUUACAAACUGUUAGUAAUGAAUGUAAUAUCAUAACAAAAACAAAACUUUUAACAACGGAUCUCUUGGCUCUC
rnacentral:misc_RNA from 1 species